ACAUAUUCAAGAUAGGAGAAGGUCUAGAUCGACCCUGGGAACGAGGCUAUGUGCCGAUAGCGUUGGCAUAUAGUGGAUCACUGGCUAUUUUGUCCCCGUGCCGUUUGAGAAGCCUCGCUUGUUGUUGGAUUUACGUGAGCCCAGUUUUAAUAUUAAACAGGGCUUCCCCUAACAUGACCACACAGUUCAGCUCAUGGGUGGAUCUUUGUGGUUAUAGGGUCCAUUUAUGGACAGUAUGCUACACUCAUGAUCUAGCAUCAAGGAGGUGGUUUCUGCUCUAAGACCUUUUUAUAUCAUCACCACUUGUCAUAGUUAUCACCAGCCCAGAUGAUGUUGGGCCACAGGUAACUCGCUGGUCAACUUGGUUCAGGUUUAUAAGUUGACCAGACUUUAACUUUGAUUUUCUUUGUGCAUUAAUUUUUCAUUUAUUCAGUCAUUUCUUUUUUUCUUUUCUUUGUUAUAUUUCAUCUGGUGGGUAAACAAGGUAACAAACUUCCCAUAUAUUCUUCUACUUUGUCUCUUUGUAUGCUCAUCUAAGUUCGAUCAAUGAUACACAAAUUUUGUUCCUGUAUCAACAUAAGGCAAGCCCUACUCCUUAUUGCAUAUUGUUUCCCUUUCUCUCUUGACGUGCAAAUUCGUCCUGACAAAUUUGGCAAGGACGUUGCAAAUACGUACUCUUUUGGCAACAUAAAGCGAGCCCCUAUAUGUCUCUCGAACCAGUUCUGUCCCCUUAUCCAAAUAUUUUCUGUAAGAAAUGGCACAAUUCCCGUUUAGAAAACAAGAAAGAGUCUACUGACGCACCUAUCAACUGAUUAAACAAAAAUGCCGACAUGUACUGUAGUGACCGUACAUCAAAUUGCACAGCUCAAAGCUGAUAGGAACAGGAACAUUUCCGAAGGUUGCACAAAUCAAAGAAAUCUGCACGAUUACUACGAACACUUAGUCAAUACGUUAAUGCCAUUUUAUAAUUAAAAGAACUAUGAAAUUGGCAUAAUGUUAUAACACUUAAAAGGUCUCUUGAAUGCAUAAGAGAACGCGAGCCAGGAAUACAUUUCAAGGCUCUUCUUUACAGGACAGAUAGUAUUUUUGUUUCUGGCAGUCGUAAUACCCAACACCAUAAAACAGUAACUAUAUCUAGAAACAAACAGGUAAUUAUAUAUUUGCAGCUUUAUAUUUUCUGGCAGCAGAUAAUGAUGUCUACAUAGCAUUCCAGUCACCAUUGCUAAUUUUUACCAGCUGCCGUGGUACAGUGGUUAGGAUGAUCGCUUUCUACGCUGAGACUGGGAGGUGACACACGGUUCGAAUCCUGUCACCGGCUGUGCUCUCUGAGGUUUUCCCUGGGUUUUCCGAAGACUUUCCAGACGAACGUCGGCACAGUUCCCCCUGAAGUCGGCCCAGGACGCAUACUAACCCCCCCUGUCCCCCACUCCUUCCUGCUGUCCUCUCUCCAUCUGUCCACGUCUGUAUGCCGCUCGUAGCCACAGUUGCUUCGUGGCACUGACACGUAAUUUAAAACAAAUUGCUAAUUUUCUGGCAAUAAAACUGCAGUGCAAAUUCUGUUGUAACUGUUCUGACGAUAUAGCACCCAUUGUCCUAAAAGAACAUACAGCCUCGAGAUCAUGGCCGUCAUUAUAAAGUUUAGCAUUAUUUUGACUUAUAUACUUAUUUCUAGGAUGAAACAACAUUGUGUCGUUUUCUUAAAAUUAAGCCUUAAGCAGUUACAAGCUGACCACAUUUUUAAGCUUUUUAAAAGAGUGUGGUUUGGCAGUCUCUGAAGCUCUAUAUCUGAUGGCCCAGAUAAAAGUUGUGUAGUGUCAUCUGCAUAUAUGAUAAAGUUUAAUUUUAGUGUGCUAGAUUCUAUUGGAGAAAUAUUUACGAUGUCAAUUAUGUUCAAGUUGAAAAGUAAAGAUCCUGAAAUACUGCCCUGGGGAACACCUGGUUCCACACAGGCAAAAUCAGAUGUAACAUUAUCUAUAACGACAGCUUGCUCUGUGAAUGAUAAAUAAGUCCCAUUAGGUCUAGUGCAUCUCUGCAAAUUCCAUACCAUUCUAAUUUGUUGGUCAAUAUUUGAUAGUUUAAGCUAUCAUUCUUUGUGGUUAUCUAUGUAGUUUGCUGAUGUUAGGCACUUUUUUUUAAUAUAAUGCUUUGUAAUUUCGUUCAGUCUUGAUAGAGCUGUCUCUGUAGACUUAUUCUUUUGAAGGCCAAACUGCUGGUUAGUUACUAUUUGAUGUUUAUCUAAAAAUUUCUGCAGUCUGGUGUGAAUAAGCCUCUCAAGACCUUUUGAAAAUACAGGAACAAUUGAUAUUCGUCUAUAAUUUUCGCCAGGCCGCGGCACCAUAAUGAAGACUUCUAAUCUUCCACUGGUCUAUGUACAGGUCUUACCGUUCUACCAUGCUCAAGUCAGCUUGUCACUACCAGCUGCACAAGAACUUUUUCUGCUACCAGUUGAAUAGGCAUCUUCUAUGUUGGCUGGGCAUGAGUCGUGGAUCCUGUUUCCCGCUUUAUAUAUGCAAACCACAUGGGAUUCUACGUCAUCUACAGUAGCGUCACUCUUCGUUGCUAAGCCCGCGAAUUUUGACGCAUAGAGUAGUGGGAUAGGCCGCCGCACCAUAAUGAAGAUUUCUAAUGUUCCACUGAUCUACGUACAGGUUUUGUCCCUCAAGCAGCCCUUCCAACGCGGGAAAUCUGUCUUCUCUCUUACCAGAAGCCUCCGCUAUCCUCUUCCUUUGUCUCUAUCAUGGGCACUAAGUGUGCUGGUCUUUGGUUUAAUGAAGUCUUCGUCUCUACAGAAGCAGGUCUGCACAGAAAUUAAAAUUUCUUAGGCUUGUAAAUUUAUUCCAUUAUUUAGUGUAUAUACAUAUAUGAUGUGUGAAUAGUGCACCAACAAAAUUUUCGCUAAGCCCUCCACAUUCUUGGAAAUUCCUGUAACGGUUUUCUGUUCGGUGACAAACGUAUCCAACGUCUUUGAUCAUAGUAACAAAUUUUCGGUACCACAGUUGCUCACACACAGUCUACUUUACUCCAUCUACUGUGCAGUCUGAUUUUCAUGCCAGGCAGGGAGUGCCAUAGCCAUAGCAUAGUUUCCCCAGAUUGUGUUCUGUAUGUGCAUGUAUGUGAUAACAUCCUGGCUACCUGCAGCAAUUGGCUCUGUGCAACAGACAAAAGCACCACUGCUGCUGUCUUUGAGGAGCAGUACGUGUUGCUCCUUCGUUUUAAGUUUGCAUUUUUCUUUCCUUCCCAUUUCACUCUGAACCAUGCUCUGAACUACCCAGCCACGGGCUCUGCAGUCUGCAUCACUUGUUCUGGAUUCAACUGUGUUUUGUUCAAGCGAACAUUUAUUUAUUUAUUCUAUGGAACGAAUGUGUGAAUUAUUCAUACUGUUUGGCACAAACAACUACAGAUUUUUGUAGCACGCUAUCGUAUGUCAUCCGUUUAGAUUUGUUGUCAUAUCUUCUCUGUUUGAGUGAUGUAGUAAAACACUUGUAGUUCAUGGCUUACAUUUCGCUGAGCCUAAGCAGGAAAUAUCCAAUCAUGGUGCAACCAGCCUCUACCAAACAGUUUCAAGCUUUGUUUCAGGGCUCUUUCUUCUUCUGUUUUUCGAGAUGUCUGUGUUUCGGGACUUGAGUUCAUAUAAUAGUGUCAUUUUUGGAACACAUAGAAUAGCAUCUUUUGCAUUACUUCUGUUGUCCUCAUGUUGAUACUAAAGGACAUGUCUUGCCUUCUUUCUUCCAUUGCCAACCCAGUUCCUGCUUUCCUGCUUUCUUUUUUUUUUCUUCUUCAGGGCCAAUGUUACCUACGGAAUACUUAUCACUGUCUUUCACAUUCAGUGUAACAUGCUUGCUUUUCCUAAUCUUGGUGCGUGUUUUUUCGUGUAUGUGUGUUAAUGUUUGUGUGUCACCUGCUGGCUGUGUCCUCAUUGCUAUUCCUGAAAAGUACACAGGCAUGAGGCAGGCAUGCUAUGAUGUUGUCUGUGUCUCCAAUACUAUAUCUCAGGGCUGCUUCUGAACCAGCCAGGCUUCCUGCAUUGUUUGCUGUAUAUAUUUGUCACUAUCAGUGAAUGCUGCACAAAAAUCAAGAAUGCUUGCUUAGGUUUUGGAAUCUACCAUGCAGUGAGGAUCUCUUCCCCGGUGGGUUUCCUUACUGUGGGAACAAGCUGCCACCGCUCCAUUUUACCAGCAUUGGGGUGUUCAGCCAGUCACAGCGUGGUGUGCUCAUGAUCACUGAUAUGAUAUUUGACAUCGUUAUCAGGUAUAGCUACUGUGUCAUUAUCAGGCUGUGGGGUAUUCUCUUCUACAGAGUGUCUUGUCUGUCGUGAAAUGUUGUCUUGAACUUAUUCCAAAAUAUGUUUACAUUAAAUUUUGUUAUUUCAGACUUUA